rnacentral:rRNA from 1 species
UACGUAGGGUGCAAGCGUUAAUCGGAAUUACUGGGCGUAAAGCGUGCGCAGGCGGUGAUGUAAGACAGAUGUGAAAUCCCCGGGCUCAACCUGGGAACUGCAUUUGUGACUGCAUCGCUGGAGUGCGGCAGAGGGGGAUGGAAUUCCGCGUGUAGCAGUGAAAUGCGUAGAUAUCAGGAGGAAUACCGAUGGCGAAGGCAGGUCUCUGGGCUGACACUGACGCUCAUGCACGAAAGCGUGGGGAGCGAACAGG